GGGCAGGUGAUCCGAUUGGUAAUGGUGGUUCUCUUGUAAAAGAAUUGGUUAAAUGUCCGUAAAAGGUUCGAUUCCUUUACUGCUCA